ensembl:snoRNA
UCCCCUUGGAAUGGGCAAAGAGACACCUGAUUGGUGGUGUUGCUCUUAUAUCAGUCAGUUGUACAGUCCUUUGUUCAUCCUAGCUUGAUGACUGGGUUGGUGGCCAGAGCUGUUUCAUGCCUAGGGCACAUAA